UCCAAUGAUGACCUGUUGUGCUACGGCACGCUGGAAAUUACCGACCAAGCCUUCGGGCAGUGCCGAUAAAAAAUGGCUGUUUCUGAUC
rnacentral:snoRNA from 1 species